rnacentral:rRNA from 1 species
UACAGAGGUCUCAAGCGUUGUUCGGAUUCAUUGGGCGUAAAGGGUGCGUAGGCGGCGCGGUAAGUCGGGUGUGAAAUCUCGGGGCUUAACUCCGAAACUGCAUUCGAUACUGCCGUGCUUGAGGACUGGAGAGGAGACUGGAAUUUACGGUGUAGCGGUGAAAUGCGCAGAUAUCAGGAGGAACACCGGUGGCGAAGGCGAAUCUCUGGGCCGUAACUGACGCUGAGGAGCGAAAGCGUGGGGAGCGAACAGG